rnacentral:lncRNA from 1 species
AGACAGAGAAGUGGCACAUCAGUAUAGAUGCCAGAGAUGCGAGAGAAUCAUGAUGACUUGAGCUAGGGUUGUGGUCCAGCACACGUCAAGGGGCCGUGGCGUGUAGUCCAGCGGAGAGGAAGCGGCGAGGGAAUCAUGAUGAGUUGCAUGUAGGGAUGAAAACGGAUCGGAUACGGACGGAUAUCCCCGAUAUCAUAUUUGUUUUCAUAUUUCUGGUCGGAUUCGGAUUCGAAUACGGAUAAUGUCAACCAUGUCAGAUAAGAUACAAUUGGAUAUCAACAUCAUAAAUAUACAAUUUAAGUAUUCGGAUACGGAUAUGGUAUCGGAUAUUGAAUAUUCGGACUUAGAUACAGCAGAUCUAAACCCCUUGAAACGAAUUCGGUCUUGAAUACGGUCGGAAAAUAUCCGUACCGUUUUCAUCCCUGGUUGCAUGAGGUGCGGUCUAGGGCAGGGGAAGGGGAAUGGAUGAAGCUGGUUCGUGAGGAAAAUCCCAUAACUUGCCGUGGUUAUGUUUAUUAUGACCCAUCAUGACAUCAGCCAAAAUGUUAUGAAUGUGGCAGGCUGAAAUAGAGAUCAUUGCAGGUAAGCAAUGUGUCCAAGAGGUGAUAGAGUGCACUUAGGGGCACUAAUUAAGAUCAGGAGGCAUCAGGAACUAGAACCCCUAUGACUUGACCUGAAGUUGUAGGAUGAGUCAUACUGAAUGGAGCCGCGGAUGAGGACCCUGUCCUUGUCCAGAUACUGUUGC